CACGUAGGGUGCGAGCGUUGUCCGGAAUUAUUGGGCGUAAAGAGCUCGUAGGCGGUGUGUCGCGUCGGCCGUGAAAACCUGAGGCUUAACCUUGGGCGUGCGGGCGAUACGGGCAGACUGGAGUACUGCAGGGGAGACUGGAAUUCCUGGUGUAGCGGUGGAAUGCGCAGAUAUCAGGAGGAACACCAGCGGCGGAAGGCGGCGCUC
rnacentral:rRNA from 1 species